rnacentral:lncRNA from 1 species
AUGCAUAGUAAGAGCCAAGUAAGAACCCAGUUGUCAAGAUGCAUGAAUAUGAGUUAUUUCAUACAUGAUUGUCAUUUGAGUGGUCUUCAAUCCCUGUCCCAAACCUGGACUCCCCUGGACAUCGUGUGUUAUGCUGAGAUUGCACCAGCUACAACAGAGACCGGUCAGUUCCAGCAGAAUUUCUGUGUCUGCUUCACAGUUGUAUGUUCAGAGAACGAGCUCCACGUGUGUCCGGGGUUUGUGCCAGUAACACUUAAAAUCAAAACCACCGAGAGGGAGAUCACACGGUCAGCGUUUUCCCGCUCGUUUUGUGCAGGAUACGGUGUACCGUUUGUUGCAAUUUUCACGUUUUUGUUCAGAUGGCCAGCAAGAGAAAACAAUUUUCUUCUCUAUUUGCAUGAGCCUAACAAAGCAGCAGACAAAAACACGUUUUUAAAUGAAAGAGUUUUAAAUGCUUUUUUUUUGCUGUGUGUGUGCGUGUGUGAAAGAACCAGAAAAGGAUGUUUGAACAGUACAGCAAAUUUAAGGGCAGGGUCCUUCAGUUCGCGGAAAUUUCCAUACCGCUUGCGCUUUCCGCAGGGCACCUCCCGGCCGUGUCGGAGCCCGUCCUUUGCGGGCAGGGUCCGCUCGGUCCUGGCGGGGGGCACAGAGCCAAGUCCGGGUCUGGCCGCGCCGAGAGCACGGCCGGGGGCUGUCCUGCGGGGCGCGCCGAGACCCAGGGGCUGCGGGGCGGAAAACAGGGGGGAUCCCGGAGGGGUGGGGGCUCCCCGGGGUGGUGGUGGUGGUCCUGGGGGUGGUGGUCCCGCAGCUCUCGCCUCCUCCUCGCCCCUAAGAGCAGUGCACCCCGCGAGCCGCGGGUGUCGGGGGCGGCUCCCGGCUCCUGCUCCGACCCCAAAACGAAGCGGGCAGACCCCGCGGGCGGACCCCCGCGGAGGGGUUUUCUCAGGGAGCAGCGAGCACCGGGUCCGACGACCCCCCCUGCGGACCCUGUUCCCCCUUCCCCCCCCUCCGGUGCCCGCUCCGCAACCGCGCCGCCCCCGCGGGGAGGGACCGUGCGCUGCGGCGGCGACUUUGCUCUUUAAAUCGCUCGGAUUUAAAGCGGAUUACGGCUCAUCCCCCCCCGGGACCACCCCG